CACCGCUGCAAGAGGGGAAGUUGCUACUGUGAUGAAUUCUGCCAUGUGGCACCAGACUGCCACCCAGACCACAGUGUCCUCUGCAACCCUGCUUCUCAGAUGACCAAGAUGGUGCUGCAGAUGGUGCUGAGGAUGGAGAACCCACCAAGCCCCGCUAGGAGCCACCUAGACUGGAUGCAGAGCAUGGAUUCUGGAUGUAUACAGAUGCUCUUCAUCUUAGGAAGGGGUUACGUCCCAAUAAACACGUGGCUAAAACCUUUGAAGAAGAAUUUAUUAUAUCCUACAAACCUGGGAGGCAGAGGUUGCAGUGAGCCAAGAUUGGGCCAUCGCACUCCAGCCUGGGCAAUAAGAAUGAAACUCUGUCUCAAAAAAAACAAAAGUUGGCCAGGGCUGGGCGUGGUGGCUCACACCUGUAAUCCCAGCACUUUGGGGGGCUAAAGCAGGUGGAUCACCUGAGGUCAGAAGUACGAGACCAUCAUGGCUAAUAUGGUGAAACCCCAUCUCUAC
ensembl:lncRNA MUC20-OT1 MUC20 overlapping transcript